UACGUAGGGUGCGAGCGUUGUCCGGAAUUAUUGGGCGUAAAGAGCUUGUAGGCGGUUUGUCGCGUCUGCUGUGAAAUCUCAAGGCUCAACCUUGAGCUUGCAGUGGGUACGGGCAGACUAGAGUGCGGUAGGGGAGAUUGGAAUUCCUGGUGUAGCGGUGGAAUGCGCAGAUAUCAGGAGGAACACCAAUGGCGAAGGCAGAUCUCUGGGCCGUAACUGACGCUGAGGAGCGAAAGCAUGGGGAGCGAACAGG
rnacentral:rRNA from 1 species